rfam:Capsicum annuum cultivar Zunla-1 chromosome 3, whole genome shotgun sequence
ACUCUUGGUGAUGUGGACAAUCCCAAUAAAGAGCCUUGAAGCGCUCCCAAGCAUGAUAGAGGUUUUUAUCUAGCUUCUGUUUGAAGUUCACUAUCUUACUGUAAAGUCU